rnacentral:rRNA from 1 species
GACGAACGCUGGCGGCGUGCUUAACACAUGCAAGUCGAACGGAAAGGCCCUGCUUUUGUGGGGUGCUCGAGUGGCGAACGGGUGAGUAACACGUGAGUAACCUGCCCUUGACUUUGGGAUAACUUCAGGAAACUGGGGCUAAUACCGGAUAGGAGCUCCUGCUGCAUGGUGGGGGUUGGAAAGUUUCGGCGGUUGGGGAUGGACUCGCGGCUUAUCAGCUUGUUGGUGGGGUAGUGGCUUACCAAGGCUUUGACGGGUAGCCGGCCUGAGAGGGUGACCGGCCACAUUGGGACUGAGAUACGGCCCAGACGCCUACGGGAGGCAGCAGUGGGGAAUAUUGCACAGUGGGCGGAAGCCUGAUGCAGCAACGCCGCGUUCGGGAUGACGGCCUUCGGGUUGUAAACCGCUUUCGCCUGUGACGAAGCGUGAGUGACGGUAAUGGGUAAAGAAGCACCGGCUAACUACGUG